GACGAACGCUGGCGGCGUGCUUAACACAUGCAAGUCGAACGGAAAGGCCCUGCGUUUGCUGGGUGCUCGAGUGGCGAACGGGUGAGUGACACGUGAGUAACCUCCCCUUGACUUUGGGAGAUCUUCAGGAAACUGGGGCUAUUACCGGGUAGGAGCUCCUGCUGCGUGGGGGGGGAUGGUAAGAUACGGCGGUGGGGGCUGGAUUCGCGGCUUAUCAGCUGGUUAGUGUGGUAGGGGCUUACCAAGCCUUUGACGGCUAGGCGGCCUGAGAGGGUGACCGGCGACAUUGGUACUGCGGUACGGCCCAGACGCGUACGGGCGGCAGAAGUCGAGAGCCUUGCACAGUGGGCCGACGCGUGAUGCAGCGACGCUGCGUGCGGGAUGCCCGCCUUCUGGUUAUAAACCGCUGUGGCCGGUGACGUGGCGUUAGUGACGGUACUGGGUCAAGAAGCACCGGCUAACUACGUG
rnacentral:rRNA from 1 species